GUGUGCCACCUGUCUUUCCUUAACCCUAAGCCUGUUUCUGACGUUUCAUUGAAUAUGUGUGAUAAUGUUGGUUCUGUGGGAGUAACACUUUUCCAUGUCACCUCUCUGUUUCCACCUUCUGCCUGUGUUGGCUAGCCCAGAAUUGGCUAUGUAGGCCAAGCUGGUCUUGAAUUUGUGGUGGAGGGGCGGCUUGUAGAAUUGCUUAAGCUGGUCUUGAACUCUCCAUCCUCUCUCCCCAGUGGCAGGGGUUGCAGAUCUGUGCUGCCAAGUUUGCAUUCAUCGGUGCUUGGGUUGCCUGCUUCACGUGUUUAGCCCCAGGCUGCUAUUCUCUGCCCUGUGCCUUCUGAAAUCCUACCCCUUUCAGGGACAGAGAUAGUUUAGCCAUGGCUGCUCAUACAGAGGACCCAGGGCACCCACGGGGUAGCUCACAACUGUCUUUUAACUCUAGUUCCAGCAGAUCCAGGGUCCUCUUCUGGCCUCUGUAGGCAGUAGACACAUAAGCAAUAGACAUACAUGCAGCCAAGAUACCUGCACACACAAAAUAAUAGAAAAUUAAAAUUUUUUUCUUACUCUAAUUUCUCUUUAUAAUCAACUAAUACAUGUUUUAAUUCCCAUAACAUAUUUUGAUACCAAGUGAAAUAUAAUUAACUUAGUAUUUAGUCCUCCAAAAUUACAAUUAGGCUAAUUAUAAAAGCUAACAACAUUUUUUAAAUCAGUGAUUAGGCACCAGGGACUCUUGUAGCCAUUUAUACAUCUGUGUCACUAAUGAAUUUAAUUUCAGCACAACACUGUAAAACUACUAGGUAAUACUAUUCACUCCACUUAGAAAUGAGAAAACAUAAAGAGCCUCUAUAACAUAAAUCUUUUCUCAGUGGUGUGAGGGCCAAGAUUGAUUGAUUGAUUGACUGGGUGGUUGAUUCAGAGCCAGGGUUUAGAUGUAGACAGUCUGGCUCCAUAGGGGAGACUCCUUCAGGAUCACACCCAGGUCCUCAGGCACAGUAGGUGAAUGCCGUAUCGUGGAGCUCCGUCUUCAGCUAAAGCAGUCUACAGUCUUCAGGUCUUUUGAGACAAGUCCUUAGUAUGUAACCACGACAUGCCUGGAAUCACCACAUGAAAGUAUUUAACACAGCAACAUAGAAGAUAUGAAGAACUACAACAAACUGGGAGGAAAGUUAUGAUCACUUGCAUGAACAUGUUACCAUCUCCAAAGACAGCCUCUACAGAGUCUUACAGAGUCAGGACAAGAGGGGCCUUGCUACUUUUUUGUUUCUGUGUUUCUGUGUAGAGCUCUGUUUUCUGGAAUUUACUCUGUAGACCAGGCUGGCCUCGAAUUCACAGAGAUCUGCCUGGGAUUAAAGGCCUGUGACACCGUCACCUGGCUGAGCCUUGCUACUUUUUCAACUGGCCUAAGCCAAGUAUAUCACCCAGAAAGAAGAAGGAUAGUGUAAGAGGUCUCCCUUGUCACUGGGUUCUCUUGCUGCUGCUGUCUUAUCGAUGAGGAAACUGAGUUACUUAAGCCCUACAUCUAGAUAAUAAAGGGACUGAAAUUUGCAUUAGACUGAGUCCAGAGGUUGAACUCUUAGACCAUCCAUCCCAACUCUCUUUACCCACAGGCCCAGGCUAGCUUUUUCUCUUUUGUUAGGUUCAGAGGCCAGGCUGCCUCUCUUCCCUAGCACACAUGGGAGGUAGUGUCUAUGUCUGCCUUCACAGCCUUCCAAAUGGGUUAGCAGAAACCUUGGGAAUAGACUUAGUCUUGCCUGAGUGAGGACCUUGCUGUACGGUAUUUACAGUGGAGAUAGAAUGAUGAAAACAGAUGAGGAAGGAAAGAGACUGUGCUGUGUGCUUUUUUCUAUUGGGUUUUAGAGACAGACCUCACUCUGUGGCUAACACUGACCUAGAACUCAUUGUAAUCAAGGCUGACCCACAUCCUCUGGAGCUGGAGUUCCGGUGGUUGUGAACCAUCUGAUCAGGGUGCUGGGAACCUACCUCAGUUUCUCUGGAAGAGCAGGAAGUGCUCCAGACAACUCGGUGACAGUGCAAUGGUCUUGUAGGUAAAGGCACCUGCUCCAACCCUGAUAAUGACCUGAGUUUAUUCCCCGGAACCCAGGGGGAAGGAGAGAACCAGCUCCACAGUUGCCCUCUGACCUCCAUACUCAUGACAUAGUAAAAUGUGCACAUUCCUCCUCAUACACUGUCUCAGCCAGGGUUACUAUGUAAUGAAACACCAUGACCAAAAGCACUUGGAGAGGAAAGGGUUAUUCCGCUUAUAUAUCCUGAAUCCAAAGCAGGAUUUGAGAGAAGUCAAACAGGAACUCAAAACCAGGCAGGAACUGAUGCAGAGGCCAUGGAGGAGUGCUUGCUCCUUAGGACUUGUUCAGCCUGCUCUCUUAUAGCACCUGCUCCACCAGACCAAGGUCGUACCACCCACAAAAUGCUGGGCCCUCCCAGGUUAAUUAAUAAAUAAUUGAGAAAAUGUGUAACAUGUAGUGGCACACACCUUUAUUUCCAGUAUCCAGGAGGCCAGCCUGGUCUAUAUAAUUAGUUCCAGGACAGCCAGAGCUAUAGAGAGACCCUUUUUCCAAAAAAAAAAAUUAAAAAAAAAUUCUGUGUGUGUGUGUGUGUGUGUGUGCAUGUGUGUGUGCAUGUUCGUGUAUGCACACAUGCACAUGUGGAGGCUAGAAGAGGCAGUUGGAUCCCCUAGAGCUGGCAUUGCAGGCAGUUGUGAGCCAUCUGAUGUGGGUGGUGGGAACUGAGCUGUGCUUUUCUCAGACAGCAGCAAGCACUCUUAAGCAUUGAACCAUCUCCCCAGGUCCGCUCCCCACCACGAGGACUUCUCGUUACCUCUUAAGUAUAGCUCAGCAAUGUUGGCUAUCCAGGUGGUGAAGUAAAAGCCAGUCUGGUGACCCCAUUCCUCUCCAUGGUGUUGUGCUAUUUUUAUUUUUGUUCCUACUGUGUCUCCUCCUAGCAUCUUUCUUUCUUCCUCAUAGCUUGUUGAGAAUAGAGACAGACAUUUCUUCUUGCUCAGGGACAGGAGGAGAGGAGGAGCCCCCUUUGGUAAUCCUUUGGUGACAUACAAUUGAUUGUACGGCCAUUUUCACCCAUGGUUUCUCCCUGCCUCCCAUUCACUAGCGGAAACAGGAUGAGAACCAUUGUUUGCGCCAAACUGCUUGCCAUUCAAGCGUGAGGAGCUGAGUUUGGCUCCCCCAGCUUCCACAGGAAAAGCUGGGCAUGGUGGUGCGCAUCUAUAAUCUUAACAGGAGGCAAGUGGAGACAGGGAAAUGCCUGGAGCUCACUGACUAGUCCAUCUUUCCAAAUGGUGUGCCCCAGACCCAAUGAGAAAGCCUGUUUCAAAAAAUUAAAGUGAAGAACAGUAGGGGAGAUGCCACACAUGUGUACACUGACAUGACACGUACAUGCACAAUACCACACACAUGCACAAACUAAAAACAAAGUGAAAUGUGGGAUAUAUAUAUAUAUAUAUUUUUUUUUUUUGUUGUUGUUGUUGUUGUUGUUGUUGUUGUUGUUGUUCUUUUUUUCGGAGCUGGGGACCGAACCCAGGGCCUUGCGCUUCCUAGGCAAGCGCUCUACCACUGAGCUAAAUCCCCAACCCCUAUAUAUUUUUAUUUACACACACACACACACACACACACAGAUUUGGAUGCUGAGAAUUGUACUCAGCCCCCUGCCCCAUGCUGGGUGCAUUUCCUACCACUGAGCUACACUUUGAGUCUAAAAACAUAAAAACUAUGUCAUGGGAGUUCAUGGUUUUGACACAUAUAAACCAUGUAGUGCUUACACAGCUCCAUUUCACAUGCUUAUUAAUCUUUUAUGGUCAAAACACCCUAUAUCCUUUCUUUUAGCUUUCUGAGAAGUGCCGUGCACUCUUGUUAUUUCUAGACAGCCAUGAUUCAGUUGCACCCCAGUGUUUCUUGAGCUUAGUUUCCAUUGAUCAGCUUCUCCCCGUUUUGCCCUUCUGCUCUCUAUGGCCCUGCUUAACCUCAGGCUCGCCCCCAUUUCUGUGAGCGUACCAAAAGUCCUUUUCUUUUGUUUGCUUUAUUUUUGCUCUUUUUUUUUUUUUCAUUUUCUUUUUUUUCGGAGCUGGGGACCGAACCCAGUACCUUGUGCUUGCUAGGCAAGCGCUCUACCGCUGAGCUACAUCCCCAGCCCCUUUAUUUUUGCUCUUAUCUGGUUUUAUUUUAUGUGUAUGGUGUUUUGCCAGCAUGUAUGUGCACCACUGGUUUGUCUAGCUGGAGGCCAGAAAAGGGCAGGCCUCAGAGUCCCUGGAACCUCAGUUACAGAUGGUUGGGGCUUCCAUGUGGGUGCUGGGACUCAAACCUGCAUCCUUUGGAAGAGCAGCUAGUGCUCUCAACUGGCCGAGGCCUCUGUCUGGCCCUCGUCUUAGUUUUUUGAAACAGGGUCUCAUAUACUCCAGACUUGAACUUGUUGUGUUUCUGAGGAUGACCUUGGACCUCAGCUCCUCCUGCCUGUCCCGCUGUAUGGCCCUAUGGGGUUGCAGCUGGAUGCUACCAUAGCAAGGCUUACAUGCAGGGGCUAGAGAACCCUGGCUCUGUGAGUCUAGGCAGACACGACCAAAUGAACCACACCCCUAGCCCAAAAGGUUGUGAAGAGGCUGUUUCUGAGGUUGAAAGAUGACGUAGAUUCUCCCUUGGAGCAAUAAUGGGCGAGCAUGAGGAUUUUCUAGAAAGGCUACCCACAAAUGCCUUCAGUAGAAGAGACUGCUCUUUCCUAGGCCCACACCUGGGAUCUGUCAGACAUCUGGGCCUCAGCUGCCAAGCGCUGGUUAGAAGCCUGCAGCGCUGGCCUUUUCCUUUGUGGCCAGGCACGUAUGCAUGGAGUGGAGAAAUGUGUGAGGCUGUGGACGAGCCUUCAGUGCCUUUCUCUGAGCAUUUCUGUGGCUCCUGGGACCUCUAGAAGCCCUCCCUGGACAAAAAGUUCCAGAGGCCAGAGAAAGGCCUUUGAAGCUACCUAGCUGUAGAGUGUGUUCAUGAACCAAGGCCGACUUCCUGGUGCGAUUCUGUGAGGCAGUCAUCUGUAGAAUUACUGGACUGGUUCCAAAGACUGGCUUCAUGUGGAAUUGCUGCAAAUGUUGGCCCUACCCAUAGGACCACACUUCACCACUAGGGGAGAGCUACGCUGUGCCCUCCAGAUGAGACUGGUUGACAGACAUGGCAUAUUCAAGUGGAUGUGGGGUUGUUCUGGUCCUACUUGAGGCUGGAGUUGCACAUGGAGGGCUUCCUGUAGCUGCCUUGACUGAGAGCCUUCUCUCCUUUCCUGUUCUUCUUCACUGGACACUGCACCACACGAGUUAUUUAUUGAAACACUGGCCACAGAUUAACUCGGCCACUUGUUAAUUAGUGUGGACUCAAUCUCCUGCAGUUUAGAAAGGCUAACUUUCCUUUCUCGAAACUUGCCUUAAAGGAGUUCUGUAACAUGCCCCUUUCUAUGCCGGGCUCUUCAGUAGAAAUUCUGCCUUUGCUGUGUGUACAUGUCUUGGCCUUCCCUCCCAGUGGAUCCGAGCUUGCUGCCCUCCCUGGUGUGCCUUACAAGACCAGUUGAUGUAUAGCACAGCUGAAGUAGCCGGCUGAAGGAAGGAAGUGCUCUGCUGGCUCAGCAGAAGGCAGGCCUCUCUGAAACCUGGUCCCUUUGCUUUUAUCUCAGAGGUGUUUAGUUUCAGAGUGACUGUGAAACUGGGACAGUGUCUGCCAGGGCGGGGAUUCAGACCACCUGAGAAGAGUGGAAGGUGAACAGGGGCAGAGUUCAAGGAGGGGGCCUGGACCUUUUUUUUUUUUUUACAUUUUUACUUUUUUUUUUUAAAUUUACAUUUGGGGAUGUCACAGAUACAUAUGCCCCUGUGCACAUGUUAGAGGACAGCUUUCAUGAAUUGGUUCUUUCUCCGACAUGUGGAUUCCCAGGACCAAACUGAGUUAGUCAGGCUUGGCAGCAAGCAUCUUAACUUGCUGAGCUGUCUCAGCAGCUCAUAGACCUCUUAUUUUUGUAGUCGCUGUAGUGCUGGGAGUCAGACCCAGGACUUUGAGUAUACUAGGCAAGCCUCUAAAACCCCAGGCUCCUAGACCUCGGAGGUAUUCCCUGUCCACCAGAAAAGUGGUGUGGGGUUCUGAGUCUGAGUGCAUGUGUGGCCUCUGGUUAUCUUUCUCUGUCAUUUUCCACCUUAGUUCUUUGAGACAAGCUCUCACUGUCUUAGUUAGGGUUCCUAUUGCUGUGAUGAAGCACCAAAGUGGCCAAAGGCGUCUCGGGGACGGAAGGAAGGGCUUAUGCUCUCAUCACACUCAGAGGUUAGGGGCAGGGAUCCAAGCAGGGCAGGAACCUGAGGCAGGAGCUGAUGCAGAGGCCAUGGUGGAUGCUGCUUCCUGCCUUAUUCCUUAUGGCUCCUCACAGGUGGUUCCACCCGCAGCACAUCAAUCACUAAGACAAUGUCCCAUGGGCCUGCCUUCCCCAGAUCCUGUGGAGACGUUUUCUCAGGUGAGGUCUCCUCCUCUCAGAUGACUAUAACUUGUGUGAAGUUAGCAUAAGAACUAGCCAGGAUGCUCACUGAACCCUGAGCUUGCUAUUUCAACUGCACUGGCUAGCCAUUAAGCCCUCAGAACCUACCUGUUGCUUCCUUACCCACCACAUUGGGCCUGCAAGCCUGUAUGACUGUGUUCAACAUUUCCAUGGGUGAUGAGGAUAUGAUCUCAAGUUCUCAUGGUUGCAUAGCAACCACUUUACCCACUGUGCCAUCUCUACAACUUAUCUGUUUAUCUAAUUUUUUUUUUUCUGAGACAGGAUUUCAUGUUGUCUCAGAAUGAAAACUGUAUAGCUGAGGAUAAUCUAGAACCCCUAAUCCUCCUGCCUCUUCCUCCCAGGUGCCAGAUUAUAGGCACUCCCUGAACCAGGCCUGGUUUAUGGGAUUCUGGGAUCAAACCCAGGGCUUCAUGGAUGCUAGGCUAACACUUAACCAACUGAGCUACAUCUUCAGCUCCACACUAUGUGUGCGCAGUGUUGGGAAUCAAACCCAUGUUUGUGCAUGAUAGACAUGCAUUUUACCAAACAAGUACAUUCCGAGCCUGCCUUUAAUAUAGUGAUUACCUGCCUUCCUACUUCCUGCGUUACCUGAGUUUGCCAGCACCUUCCUUGUCCAACGUUCCUCUUCUGAAACACUGACCCCCGAGUUCCUUCCUGUGUCCUGUCUCUGAACUGUCCCCAUAAGUUGCAUCUUCUGUUUCUGUGUCUCAGCUUUGAUCUGUGUCCCUGAGGUAAGAUGGAUGAAGGUGAGUCCUGAUGAAUGAUCUCCUUACCCUUUAAAUAACUGCAGCUUGGGACCAAGAGACCUAGAGGCCUCUCAGACCUAGAGACCUCUCAGGCCUAGAGACCUCUCAGACCUAGAGACCUCUCAGGCCUAGAGACCUGCUGGUGUGCAGCACACACACCAGCAGAGCAGUAUCGAACCAUCUUUAAAAUUCACUACAUCAGGACCUGGAGAGAUGACUCAGCAGUUAAGAGCUCUUGCUGUUUUUCCAGAGCACCUGAGUUUGGUUCCUAGAACUCACACUGGGCAGCUGUGAGCUGCCCACAACUCUAGCUCCAGGAGAUCCAACACCCUCCUCUGGCCUCCAUGAGCACACACACAUUCAGGGAAUACAGUCACAGAAAUACAUACAUACACAUAAAUAAAAUGCUAAAUUCACAGCACUGGGGGCUGAAGAGAGUUCAGUUGUUAAGACACUGCAGAGGACCCAAGUUCAUUUCCUAGUAUCCAUCUCCAGUGCCUUACAAUAUCACCACCUAUAACUCCUGAUAACCUGAGUUUGAGUCCUGAAACCUAUGAAACGGUGAAGGGAGAAAACUAACUCUGAGAAGUUGUCCUCUGACCUCCACAUACACAUGUAAUACUACUAAUAAAAAAUUAUGUUCUACUGUGGUCUGCCCUUAAAGGGGAGCUGAGCUCCUAUCUCAGAGACCCCAUGAAUAAGGAAGCUUCUAGGUAGCAAAGAAAGCACUCUGAUUCCAAGUCUGUGUAAGCUUGGAGGAUGGAUAACAGAAUGGGAAGCUGUGCCCUCAACCUAACUACUCCCUGUUGAGUGAAGCAGUGGUUUUCAAACUGUGCUGUACCCUGGUCGACCCUUGUUACAAGAAGCAUUUGGCUCCAUUUUUUUUAAUGCAAGAGCAGUGGUAGGAUAGGGCUGUGUCCCAUGAGUGUAGACACUGCCACCUGUGUAGCACCACUCUGGAGGCUCAGAAUGAUAACCAACUUACUUCUAGAGUGAAAAAGAUACCAUCAAAAUAAAUAAAGAGAUGUACUUAAAUUCAGAGGUAUCCUGAACUAGUGGUAUGAUCACGACUGAGUAAAGUUAACCAGGAUGUGCCUGUUAGGGAAUUGUCAAGCCGGAGGUUGAAGUCACUCUGUACAGAGGAAAGUCUUGCUGGGAUCAGGCCAGGGACCAGUUGGACACUGGUGACAGCUGGACAGUGGUUAUAGGAUCUUGGGUCAUCUCUUGAGUCAUGGCUUCUAUAACCUUAUUGUGUAUUUUCAGAGUUACCAGGGAAGUCUACAACUCUGUAAUGCACAGUGGUGACAUCAUUUGUUACUGGCUUAGUUGGCAAAUUAACAUGGUUAUACUUCUUGUGUGGUCAGGAAUAUCUAUGUCCACUAUUCCACAAGCCCACAGCAUGUCUUGGCCAGGAUUUUGGGGUAUCUUUCUGAGGUUUCCUGUAGCUAGGAGGUGCACUUUCCAAGGUGGCUAAGGCAUAGCUAGUCUGAGAUGAUUUAUAAAUAUGUGGAAGUGGGCAUGGUGGCACAUGCUGAGGCAGGAGGAUGUGUGAGUUUGUAGAGUAUGUGCUUAGCAGACCUGGAGCUUGCCUGGGUAACUCAGACUCUAGUUUUGGUGGGAAAGGGCCAGGCUGCCCUGGAGCCCCCAGCAAUCCUCCUGCCUCUAGAGUGGAAGGAUCACAGAUAAGCCACUAUAUCCAGUAAAAUCUCAACUUUAAAUCAAAACAAAAUAAAACAAAACAAAAUGGACCAGAGAGAUGGCUCAUUGGUUAAGAGGACUUGCUGUUCUUACAGAGGAUCCUGGGUUCAGUUCCCAGUACUUAUACGGCAGUUCACAACCAUCUGUAACUCCAGUUCCGGGAGAUCCAACCCAUUUUCUGGCCUCUGCAGGUGCUAAACAUGCAUGUGACACACGUACAUACAUACAAACCAAACAUUCAUACUCAUAAAAUAUAAAUAAAUGAAUCUAAACCAACAACUGAAAGGAAAGGGUAUCAACUCAGAACCCCAAGACCAAGUUUUCUACACAAAGGAUUUAUUUGCCCCAGGGAGACACAGGGAGUAAGAGACAAAACCAGGAGAGGAGAGGAUGAUGAAGGGAAAGAGAACAAAGAAAGGGAUAUUUGUUGGGGACUCUGGGAGGGGAGCUGACCCAAAGGACUGUCUCGGAUAGAGAGGGGAUAGGCUGGCCAAAUAAGGAGAUAGGCCUUGGUGGCUAGAUUCAGGAAUGUCAUCUAAUGUUCUUUAGCAAGGCAGAGGGAGUAGGGGAGGACAAGGCCUGCCAGAGCCAUGUUCGCCAUGCUAGAGUCAGCUAGAGUCCCUUCAACCAGGUAUGGCCAUUCCUCUAAUCCAGCACUUGGGAGGCUGUCUUAGGAGGAUCGUAAGUUUGAAGCCAACCUGCACUGCACAGAGAGUUCUAGGGGUACCUAGGUUAUAUAAUGUGCCCCUUCCUCAUUACACCCCCAAAGACAUGUGGAUACCCAGAUCUUUUUCUUCUGUUUUUAUAUUCAGUUAUAACAUGUACACACGGACACACGCUCACACAUGCACAUAGGCACAUAUGUGCACAUAUGUACACACACAUACGUGGAUGCUUUACUUUGAGAUUCUUAUUUAUUUGUGUGUGUGUGUGUGUGUGUGUGUGUGUGUGUGUGUGUGUGUGUGUGUGUGUUUGUGUGGCAGGGGUGGGUGCAGUGGGGUGGGGAGAACGUAUGCCAAAUGAGACUGGAAUGAGGAUGUAGGACCCCCUGGCAAUGGAGUUGGAGAUGGUUGUGAUCUGUCAUGGGACUGGGAAUCAAACCUGGUUCUCUAGAGCAGCAGCUAGUACUCUCCACUCCAGCCCCUACCUUAAUUCUUUUUUUUUUAAAUAGGGUCUCAUUGUGUACCCUGGAUAACGUUGAACUCAUAGAGAUCAGCCUGUCUCUGCUCCCUGGGUGCUGAGAUUAAAUAGAUGAACCACUGUGCCUGGUUAGACUUGUUCUUUUAGACUAGUGUUAGGCUUGUGACAGAUUGAGCAGACUCAUGUGGCAUGAUGGUGUAUACCUGUAGUCCCAGAACUCAGGAGGAUGAGUUCAAGGCUGGCCUCCAUCAAAGAAGAGUUCUAUGAUCAACUCCUGUGUGUGGUGUGUUACAUUACUGAUAACUUAUUAGUAAUUAAAGUUCAACAUGGCAGAAUUCUCAGAAGUUCACUCUGGACUGUACAGUUACUUGGGUUUGGAAAACCCGUGCCCUGUCUACCCACACACAGUAGUUUGACUGUCUCUAGAUGUUUCCUGGCUCCAUGUAGUUGUCCCUCCCUCUAGCCCCUGGCAACCACUGAACUUUUGUCUCUGUAGCUUUUCAUUUCUGAAAAUGCCGUCUAGAUGGAAUCAGAGUGCGUAGCCACUAAGCCAAACUAAGCCAGGAGGGGCCUUCAUGACCAUGGCCUCACUUCAGUUCCUGCCUUCCGGUCCCACCUGAGUUCCUACCCUGACUUCCCUUUACCCCGAGCUGCGUUGCUUUUGGUCUUAAUGAUGGUUAUCACAGCGAGGAGAGCAAACUGGAGCGUGCAGCUUCUUGGGAUUGAACUUGGGUCACCAGUUCUGUUCAGUAUCUUUGCCGAUUGCUGAGCUAUCUCACUUGUCUGUCUGUCUGUCUCACUAUGAAGCUUUGACUGACCUUGAACUCACAGAUCUGCCUGGCCUGCCUCUGCCUCCACAGUGCUGGAGUUAAAGAUGUCUAUUUCUUAAGGACAUCUUGUUUUUAGGUUUUGGUGAUUUGAACAAAGCUGAUAUGAACACUGGUUCUUAUAAAGGCUUUUGUGUGAAUAUAGGUUUUCAGUUUGUUUGGGGAGUAGGGAUGUGCAUUCUGGGUUAUAUGCUAAAAUUACGUUUAGCUUUGUGAAAAACUGCCAAACUGUCUUCCAAAGCGACUGCAUCAUUUUGCAUCCCAGCCAGCAGUGACCGAGAGCCUCUGUUUUAUAUCCUCACUAGCACUCAUUGUUGAUGGUGUUUUAGCCUCUUUAGUGGGUGGGGGAUAAUCUACACAGUAUUGUUUUAACUUGCAAUUCUCUAAUGAAAUACAUUCCGUCUGCACACCUCAGUGUGAAAUACGGUACUGAGCAUCUCUUCCGCCUGCACACCUUAGCAUGACAGACUUUUACAUUUGUCUUUGUCCCUCUCCCCUCUUCUUAGGCCCACUUUGUCUCUAUAUACUCCUCUCACUUCACAAAUCCACAAGUUGGUCUUGUGUUUUCUGGCAUAUUUUCCUUUGUCUCUUGGAGCCUAACGAGUUGCCGUCCAUGAGAAGUGACUGGCCUGCUCUGUUGAAGUCUCAACCCAUCUUAGACUCUCUCUGUCUCAGUUGAACCAUUACAAAAAAGACAAAAUCUACAACUUGCCGGGCCUGGCCUUUUCCUGUCCCGCCCUUUAUUGUUCUCAGAGUUGGAAACUGGAGGGAGGACCCAUAACCCUCCUACCUUUGUUUGUGAUCCUUUAUUCUGACCCGAAAACAGUUGGGAGUGACUGCUGCCCCAGCUCCACGUGAGUCUGUGUGGAGACCUAACUUCUUCCACGGCCUCUCCGCCCCUUGGCUGACUGUUGCCAACCUCACCUUGCCUCUCCGCCCCUUGGCUGACUGUUGCCAACCUCACCUUGCCGCCUGCCCGCUGCUACAGCCUGAGAACUCACAUUUGCCUGUGAAGAAAGCAUCUGCUGUUCGUUCAUUGCCCUGUCACCUUGCCUGUGUUCAUCUUGCCCACUCUAGGCACAGAGUCCAGAGAACAUCGUACUCGCUGAGCCCUUGCUCACUUUUCAGUUAAUACUGACAUCUUUUAAACUGUAGCCCAGGCCUCAGCUUGCUGUGUAGCUAUGGCUGUCCAUGAAUUCCAGAUCUUCCUGCCUUCCUGUCCAUGAGAUGGCCUUAGGAUUUGAACCACCUUGCCUGAGUGUUAUUGUUAUUAUUAUUAUUUACUUUUGUUUUAAGACAAGGCCUUGGUUAUAUACCCUAGUGUGAUGGUUGUUCUUGGUUGCCAAGUGACUACAUCUGGAGUGCACUUGUGAGGGAUUUUUUUUUCUAGUUAAAUCAUUCGAAGUGGGAAGCCUGCCUUUAGUCUGGGUCUAGUGAGGUGGGAAGCCCGCCUUUAGUCUGGGUCUAGUGAGGUGGGAAGCCUGCCUUUAGUCUGGGUCUAGUGAGGUGGGAAGCCUGCCUUUAGUCUGGGUCUAGUGAGGUGGGAAGCCCGCCUUUAGUCUGGGUCUGGUGAGGUGGGAAGCCGCCUUUAGUCUGGGUCUAGUGAGGUGGGAAGCCCGCCUUUAGUCUGGGUCUGGUGAGGUGGGAAGCCGCCUUUAGUCUGGGUCUGGUGAGGUGGGAAGCCCGCCUUUAGUCUGGGUCUGGUGAGGUGGGAGCCCGUAUGAAGGACUUGGGGAGAGAAGCUUUGCUCUUUGCCCACUUCCUCUCACUCUCACUGGAGAGUCCACUCCAUCCUGGAAUGUGAUGAAGAAGAUGGAGACCCUUCUUAUCUUCUUUUUUAAUGUUUUAUAGUCUUUAUUUAAAAAUUACCUAUUUUAUGUGCUUUUGUGUUUUACCUGCAUGUAUGUCUGUGUGAGAGUGUUGGGAUCCCCUGGAACUGUGGUUAUAGACAGCUAUGAACUACCAUGUGGGUACUGGGAACUGAACCCAGGUCCUCUGGAAGAGCAGCCAUCUCUCCAGCCACUAAAGCUUACUUCUUUACGAUUCCGGAGUAAACUGAAGACCAGCUAAGACAUCCAGCCUCUUGGACUGAACAACUACUGGAUUCUUGGACUUUCUGUUGGUAGAUAGCCAUUGUUGGACUAGCUGGAUUAUUAAAACUACUCUAAUAAACCUCUCUCUCUCUCUCUCUCUCUCUCUCUCUCUCUCUCUCUCUCUCUCUCUCUCUCUCUCUCUCUGUCUUCUAGAGAAUUAUGACAAGUACACCCAGGCUAUCCUUGACGUUUAGAAAUCCUCAUGCAUUGGCCUCCAAGUGCUAGUAUUACACGCAUGGUCUGUUUGCUCCUAGAAUGUUUAAACAAAAUCAUAAAUGUACUUUCAUGCUUGGUUGUAGCAAUGAUAUGUUGAUCAUGUCAUUUUUCCCUUUAAAAGGUCAGUCUUAGGCUGAACAUGGUAGUAUGUGACUGUAAUCCCAGCACUUGGGAAGCAGAGUCACAAGGAUCACAAAUUUGUAGCCUAUAUUUAAAUAAAAAAUUUAUAAAUGUGUUUAUUUGCAUGUAUGUGUGUUCUUGUAGUGACUCUGGGUGCCCAAGAGGCCAAAAGAUGGAGUUACAGGCUGUUGUGAGCCUGAUGUGGGCACUAGAAACUGACCCUGAUCGUCUGCAAGAGCAGCAAGUGCUCCUAACCGCUGAGCUUUCUCUCGGGAUCCUUGUGUCCAGAAUACACAGAGUAUUCACAGAGUACACACAAAUGCCAUGGUGGGUAAGUCUAGCUGCUGAGAUAAAUAGGCUGCAUUCUAGGCCAGGCUCGUUAGUUUUCUAUGGUACACAGAAGUCAAGCGACGGGAGGCUUGGUGUUCGGCUUAGAAGAAAGAAUGAUCUUUCUGACACAGGUCUGCAGGUGAUGGGUUGCUAGGCCCAGCGGAUUUCUACCCAGCAUGAAUCUUGAGAUGUCUUUGGAGGACCGGCAUUUCUUCACUGUAUAGGGCGCCACUGCUGGGCAGGCUCUGGGCCUGAGGUUUGUGGUAAUAAACGACACCCAAUCCUGCACUUCACCGCCUGCCAUGGCAAGUCUCUUUAUAGGAGGUGGGCUUGAUACCACUUCAGAGCCUUCGGUCCUCAUGGUGCCUGACUAUCUCUUCUUGUAGAGUUCAUGCCUUAGGCCUUGUGGAGAAGGAAUCCAGAGGCUUAGAAAUGUGGUCAGCCUAUAUUGGAGGUGAGGCCAGUUGGCCAUUUGACAGUGAGGACUUGGGUUCAUAGCGGCUUCCUAGAAAGUGGAGUGCUCUAGUCUCUAGACUUCUAAUGUAACCCUCAAAGGUCCUUCUUUUCCUAGUCCCCUUCUUUAGGGGUCACAAACCUGCUCAUAGAACCAGCCUCAGAAAGACCACUCAAAUCAAAGGGCUGUUCGUGAUCUCCAGAGCUGACUUUCAUGUGAUACCCAGUGCUGCUGGGAGCCCUGCCUUCCAGGGCGUGAGGUCAGAGCUCAGGGCUCACAGCUGUGAGGUAUACGACUUCUGGAGAAGGGGGUCUGCCUCUGGGUUCAGGUCCGUCUAGCUGGCUGGCUCCACUUCUGCUAGCUGCAGAUAGGACUCCUAUGCACCUCUGAAGGCUUAGCUCCUAGACAGAGAAAAUUAGUGAAAGUUGACAGGCGACAUCACAACGUGCUCAAACUCUGUCUCCUUCCUGCUCCAGCAUCUCCAAGAUCAGGUUGCAGAUGCCGGAUCCCCUCCCUUGUCUGAACACUUCAUUCUUGUAACCAGGGCUUUUACAUAGAGAAGAGACCAGAAGAAGGCAGCAGCUGGGCCUUUGGAGGUAGAAAUUUCUAGAAAUGUUGGUGAUGUGGGCCUGUGAGUUUUGGGCUAGGUCUUUGACCAGGGACAGCAUCCAUAGCAUGUCUUGUAGUUAUGUCUCUGCUCAGAACCAGCCUGUUGCACUUGAGGAAAAGCCAUGGGCAUCCGUAGUCGUUAUGGUCCAGCACCUCUUCCUCUUCCUCUGCCACUCUUGCCCUUCCUCACUCUGCUCCCUGCUCUCUCCUCUAUCUAAAGGCCUUUGCACUUGCCUGGGCAAACCUGGAGUGCUCUGCCUACGACAGUCUCACCCCUGACUCCUGCACUCCUUAGGUCUUCUCAAGUAGUAAGGCCUUCUCUAACUGCCUCUUUCCUUUCUUCUCUCUCUUCUCCUCCCCUCCCUCCUCCCCUCCCUCCUCCAUCCCACCUUUCUUUUUUCCUUAACCUUCCCUUUCUGUCUUUCUGCCUGUCUGCCUGCCUGCCUGUCUUUCUUCUCUCUCUCUCUCUCUCUCUCUCUCUCUCUCUCUCUCUCUCUUCUUUCUUUCUUUCUUUCUUUCUUUCUUUCUUUCUUUCUUUCUUUCCUUUGAGACUGGGUCUCACUGUAUAGACCAGGCUGGGUUGAACUCACAGAGAUCCAAAUGCACAUAUAUAAACAUACUUUAUACAUUGGUGUUUCCCUGAUGACUCUAGUAUGUGCUAAAUGAGUCAGUUGGAGACAGUUUUCACUCCAUGGGUCCGGCUCUUAGCUCCAGAGGGAAGGAGAAUGCCUCAGCAUGAUGCCUGGCUCUGAGCCCAGGUGAAGGCAUUUCUUCCAUUCAGGUCCCCAUUCUGGGGAUCAUGUCAAGCCUUUCUCUGGGAGUGGUGUGUGAUGUGGAUCAAGUCUAACUUGGCUUGAGUGAAGGACUGAGUGCUGUACACAGUAUUGGGAAGCUCUUCAUUUUGUUCCUCAAAUUCCCAGGCCCAUUAUUGAGAGGUCUGUGUUCUGCUCAGUGCAGGAGUGCCCUGGAGUAUAAGACAGGCAGGGUUUCUGCUUCCCUGAGUCUUAAAUUCUUACGGGAAGACAAAUGAAAAUGUAUUUAUAGUUUUAAAGAGUCCAGGUGCCAGGCUGAAUAUUGAGUUGGGGAUGGAGUAUUAGAGAGUACUAGAUAUUAUAAAGUGAGCAGAGAGGGAGAGGGUUCAUUUCACAGUGACCAGUAUUGGUUUGUAUGAAGUUUUGAAUUGGUUUGUAUGAGGCCUUGAGCCAAGACGGUCAUGUUGUACAACUCUAGGGACACUGAUCAGACUGUUCUGCAGUGGGUGCUCCCUGGAGGUAAGGUGCUUAGAGCCCUGGCCAUCCAACUAUGUGACAGUUGAAGCAGGAGGGACCCUGAGGCCUUUUAGGUACAGAAGGAAGGUCAGGGUGGGACAGGAUGAGCAUGCAGUCUGCAGGCAGUGUGAGAAGAGAAAUGUGACUGUUAGCACUGGAGAGAUGGCUCAGGGGUUAAGAACACUUGGGUCUGGUUCCUACCACCCAAUCAGUGGUAGCUAAAAACCUCCUGGGACUCCAGCUCAAGAGGAUCUAUUGCCCUCUUCUGGCCUCUUUGGGUACCUAGGCAAACACAUGGUACACAUACAUACAUGCAGGCAAAACACCCCUGUAUACAUAAAAUAAAAAUAAAAGCUUCCAAAAGAAUGUGACAGUCAGGACAACCAUUCAUAACCCAGUUCCCGAGGAUCCAGUGCCUUCCUUCCACUGACCCCCAGUACCAGAUACAAACAUGGUGUGUGUACAUACAUACACACAUAGAAAAUAUUAAAGUCUAAAAAAGUUAAUUAAAAUUAAGUUUGAUUUUGAAAAAGGACUGGCAGUGAAUUCAUGGGUGACAGACAUAGGGAACACAGGUAUAUAGGGAAACUUUCCUGGAGGCAGGGCUCUGCCCUAGUGUGAGGGUUGCAGAGAUGAGGUGACUGAUGGCUGCAAGAGUGGCCCCAGGGUAGCAUCAGAAAGGUACUUGGACCUAGCUUUGACAGUAAGAAGAAAGCUCAUGACACUUGGAUAUUGCUCGUUUGUUGUUUGAUAUCAAGGUCUGGUCAUCUCUGAAACCAUGGGCGUGUCAUCAUGCACAUGCUCAACCUUGACAUGAUGUACCUGCCCCAUGCAUACACACACACACACACACACACACACACACACACACACACACACACACACACAGAACAGCCUUGCCCUGGGGGAGCUGAGAUGCUAAGAAGAUUGUGUCUUGAAUUACCUGCUUCAGGUGUCUGGAGGCACCUGGCUGCUCAAAGUCUUGGGAGGCAGUGGGUGGACAAAAGGCCCCUGGGCAGACCUCAGCAAGCCUUGAGCUAUACACCUGUGUGAGAGAGGCGCGCUUCCCGAAUCAGACUGUGACUUAACCAUCAUCGGCCCGGCUCGCCUUCUUUUUUUAAAGGUUUUGUGAGGUUGUUGACUUAAGCCAGAAUGAGGAAUGGUAGCUGUUGGGGUUCUGUUAUCUUUAUUUUUUUUUCAAUUUUCUUUUUUCUUUAUUUGUUUGCUUGUGUGUUUGUUUAUUGGGGUUUUUGUUUUGUUUUGUUUUGUUUUGUUUUUUGAGACAGAGUUUCUCUGUGUAGUCCUACCUGUCUGGAACUCUGUAGACCAGGGUAGCUGGCCUAGAACUCAGAGAUCCUCCUGCCUCUGCCUCCCAAGUGCUGGGCCUAAAGGCAUGCAUGCACAACCAUACCUGGCUUCAUGUUAGAGUUCUUAAUAGCUUGCUCAGUGGCUUGGGAUUUCCCUGGGUCUGACUGCCUGUCCUCUGGAGGUGGCUGGAACUAGAGGGAACAAGCCCUAGCAGACCUCCCAUGGGGAAUGGGGGGCAGUUGAUUGAGCCCCCACUGCUCUCCAGGAAGGCUCUGCUGCUCCUGGCCUUUAUUUUUCUUAAAUUCCAUGUCUUGGCUGGGAAGCUCUUUGUUCACUGAAGCCCAGAGCAGAGUUAAGCUGCUAAAGUAUUGAGAGCAGGAGGGUUUGUCUGCCUGGAUUCUUAGCCAAAUCUGUCCUGGGAGCUACUGUUUUUAAACCCGAGGAAUGCUGUGGGAAUGUGGUCCUUGGCUUCUAGCAAGAUGUCUCAGGAAAGGGCUACCCCAGUGAGGCAGAUGGAUGCCAUGAAUCAGAUUGGACAGGGUGUAACAGAAAGUGAGCAUGUGACACUUGCUGUUAGCUCUCUCUUAGCUCUAGAGCGAGCAUGCUCUCUGUGAUCCCACCUCAGUUCUUUCUCCACCUUGCUAGGAACUGAGCCCAGGACAAUCUGCAGUCUCAGCCUCUGGCCCUAGGAUGAUGGGUUUUCUUUUUUUCCUACCUAACCCCUCUUUGCCAUCCCACUUCCCUUUUUAACUUUUUGUUUUUUUGAGACAGGGUCUCACAUAGCCCAGGCUGUCCUUGAAUUUGCUAGCUGAAGGUAACCUUGAAGCUCCUGAUCUUCCUGCCUUUACUUCCCUAAAUGCUAGAAUUAUAAGUUCAUGACACCAUACCAGCUCCCAUCUCUUUUUAUAAAGGUUAUAGAAAGUGGUUUAAUAUAACUCAGAGUUUUAAAGAAGUCUUAAUUCUGGAAGAAUAUUGCCAUAUAAACAUAUCUUAAAAUUUUUCAGGUUCUUUAUUUUAUUUUAUUUUAUUGCUGUUUUACUACCCAGUAUAAUAAUACUGAUGUCACCAACACUUUCCAAUUGGCUAAUGAUGUUAUCAGUAAUUCUGAGUAGUUCACGAUGAGAAUGUCCCCUCUGCUUAUUCAGUAAUUAUUUACGGAAUUCCACCAUUGUGCUGAUGUCAGAGAACAGUAGUAAUCAAUGAGUCUCAGGCCAAGUUUGAGGGCUCUGGGAGGGAUCCACAGCCAGGAAAUUAGACACAAGUAGAAACUGGCCAGUGGUUCUUGAAGGACUGUGUCUACAGAGCCUCAGAGUUCCUCACACACCUGAGGUGAGAGACAGUGGGGACAGGUGACUUCCAGCUGGCUCUAAGAUAGGCCGAAGGUGUUCUCUGCCUGAGGUUGAAAGUCUAUCACUGCGUGGAGAAUGCCCUUAUCUGUGUGUGGAGGAGGAACCUGGGACACAUGGCAUUUGCCCGAGGGCCACAAGAAGGUGGUAGAGUGGAGCUGGUGUCAGUUCAUUGGUCCUCCCAGCCUGGGCUUGUGCUGUUUCUUAUCCAGUCUCGCACUGGGAUCCUGGAGUUGGGUGGCUUUAGAGUCCACCCUGCGGCAUCCCUGGGCUAAGCAAGUUGACAGGGAGACUGUUGGGUGAUGUCCUCACUGUCCAGCUUCUUUCUUGCUACUGGCAGACUUGCCAUUCUACCUCAGCUGUCCUGGAACUCACUUUGUAGACAAGGCUAGCCUGAAACUCACAGAGAUCCACCUGCCUCUGCCUCUGCCUCUGCCUCUGCCUCUGCCUCUGCCUCUGCCUCUCUGCCUCUCUGCCUCUCUGCCUCUCUCUGCCUCUCUGCCUCUCUCUGCCCCUCUCUGCCCCUCUCUGCCUCUCUCUGCCUCUCUCUGCCUCUCUCUGCCCCUCUCUGCCCCUCUCUGCCCCUCUCUGCCCCUCUCUGCCCCUCUCUGCCCCUCUCUGCCCCUCUCUGCCCCUCUCUGCCCCUCUCUGCCCCUCUCUGCCCCUCUCUGCCCCUCUCUGCCCCUCUCUGCCCCUCUGCCCCUCUGCCCCUCUGCCUCUGCCUCUGCCUCUGCGCUGGGAUUAAAGGUUUACACCAUCAUGUCCAGCAGCUGUUGAGCUGUUUAAUUUGAUAUUACAUUUCUGUAUUUAUCUAUUUAGUGCGAGUGAGUCCAUCUCUUUGAGAGGUGUCUUCCUGCAUCAGCUUCUUAGUAGCUAACAGUGAGGUGACACAUUACAGCCAGCUACAGGCAUUUUUGAUAAAUUUGUUGGUUUUUGCAUCAUGGUUUUUGUUGUUGUUUUAUUUUGUUUUGUUUUCUGAGACAAGGUUUUGUUCUGUGUAGUCCAGUCUGUCCUGGAACUCCCUUUGCAGACCAGCCUGGUCUGAAAUCCAGGAAUCUGCCUGUCUUUGUGCUGUUUCCCCCACCCCCCAAGUGCUGGGAUUAAAGGUGUGUAUGCUUGCCUUGCUUCAUGGUUGUUUUUAAUGCCCAUUCAUUUAUGGUAAAAUAUUCAUGAUAUGAAAAUCACCAUUGCCAGCAUGUUUAGGUAUAGUUUAGUGAAAUUAAGUUUUACAUUAGUGUACGGCCAUUACUACUUUCAGUUUCUGGAACUUUUUAAUUUUCCCAGUUGAAACUAGACCCUUUCAAAAUGAUAGUUUCCCAUUCUUCAUGUCUCCAAACACCUAGAAAGCCGGGUUCUACUUUCUGUGUGACUCUGACUGCAGCUGCCUAAGUUGAUGCAGGUGGUUGCUCCCAGUGUCAGGUGUAUUUCACUUAGUGUGAUGUCUUCAAGAUUCAUCCAUGUCAUGUGGGUGAGGAUCUGUGUGUGUGUGCGUGCUUGUGUUUGAGACAGAGUUUCAUACAACACAGGCUGGCCACAAAGAUGACAGUGUGGCCCAGGGUCGUCUGACUCCCGCUUCCACCUCCCAAGGGCUGGGAAUUUAAGGAUGUGCACGGUGCCUGCUUUUCCUUUUCGAAGGACAGAUACCAGUCGACUGUUUCCUGUCUGCCCUUCCUACCUCCUCACCUGGCAGUAGGCUCUCCGGUUCCUGUGCUGUUUGUGACCCCUUCAGCACUGUGGUGAGGGAUGCUGCUGUCAACAAGGCUCUUCAAGACCUAUUUUCAGGCUUUUGUGUAGCUACCGAGAGAUAGGAUUCCUGGCUCAUUGCAGUAAUUCUCUCUCAUUUUUUGAAAACAACCAUCAUGUUUUCUAUAGCAGCUGCAUUGCCACCAGCCAUCCAUGAAAGUCCCAACUUCAUGACCAUUUGACUUGAUGAGGCACCAUUUACAUUUCACCUGAUGUUAACAGUAGAGGUUCUACUGUGGGGCCUGGCUCCUCCUCCUCUGGUGGAGGCACAGAGAGCCCUUUGCUUCUCAGUGCUCACAGCAGUCAGCUUCCUGCUGUCUCUGGCCUUUAGUCAUGGCGGUGUCCUAAUGAAGCACCAGACCUUAUAUAAGCCCCUACUUAUAGAACAGCGGGAGUUUUUCUAAUUUUUUGUUUUGUUUUAUAAAUACUGCUGAAUAUGUUUAUGCCAAAGGCUUUUUUCUAAGAUAGUUCCCUUAUGGUGAGUCCCCAGAACUAGUCACUGCUACUGUGAGUGAUAGCCAGUGCUGCUACUGUGAGUGAUAGCCAGUGCUGCUACUGUGAAUGAUCGCCAGUACUGCUACUGUGAAUGAUAGCCAGUACUGCUACUGUGAGUGAUAGCCAGUACUUGGCUUUCCUUGCUGUGUUCAGGUGUUGUUCGAAGCAUUUGACUCUGUGUAUUUUGCGUGAAUUAAGUAGCUUUCUAGAAGUUUUUUUUUUUUUCUUUUCCUAGACAAAGUCUCUCUAUACUAUGGAUUUGAUAGGAUGCUUCCCUUCCAAAACUAUUCCUCAAGAGGUUUGUCCUUAGGGCUUGUUGUGUGGAUGCUCUGAGCCACAGCCUCGUGAGUGUAUAGCGCGCACGUGUUGCUAAUUGCCUGGCCAUCUCACCAGCCCACCCCUUUUUCUUUUUAUAUUUAAAAAAAUUAUGUGUAUGGAUGUUUUGCAUUCAUUUAUGUAAAUGUACUUUGUGUAUGCAUGGUGCCUGCAAAGGUCAGAGGAGUUCCACUGGAACUGGAGUUACAGAUGGUUGUAAGCCACCGUGUGCUUGCUGGGGACUGAAUCUGUGUCCUGGGAAAGAAUAAGAAGUACUCUUCACUACUGAGCCAUCUCUCUAGCUUUUUUUUUCUUUUUCUUUUUCUUUUUUCCGGAGCUGGGGACCAAACCCAGGGCCUUGCGCUUGCUAGGCAAGCGCUCUACCACUGAGCUAAAUCCCCAACCCCCAUCUUUUUCUUUCCCCUUCCCCCCAGCUUUUUUUUUUUAGAAAGAUUUAUUUAUUUAUUUAUUAUAUAUAACACUGUAGUUGCCUUCAAACACACCAGAAGAUCCCAUUACAGAUGGUUGUGAGCCACCAUGUGGUUGCUGGGAAUUGAACUCAAGACCUCUGGAAGAACAGACAGUGCUCUUAACCACUGAGCCAUCUCUCCAGCUCACUUGUCCAGCUUUUUAAAUCAUGGUUUUGACUACCAGUGUUUAUCUUUUCUGACAGAGGAAUCUGACUCUCAUUACCCUCACUAUAUUAACACUUGGGUAGUUUGAGGAUUACUAACCUAUACUAACUAAUGUAACAAUAAACCAGCUCCCUAGAGUUUACCCUUUGCUUUCUGUUCUCUUUCCCCUGGAAAUACAUGGCCAAUAAAUUGUAUCCAAAGCUUACUUAGUUGACUGUCUUCAUGGUGGUUUGGGCUCAUUUGAGACAGUGAGAGUCACUAAUUGCUUGCUUUGACUAUGGGAAGAUACUAGAGUGACUGCAGUUAUAACUACAGGAAAAGUAAACAAACCAACCAACACAAAAUACUGUUGCUCUAGCCCUUGCCAUCUGAGUCACACUGCCCUGGUAGGCAUCUCGUCUUCUUUCCAGGUUAUCCUUCCUGUGUGGCUUCACAUAAAUGAAUAGUGUUGUUUGCUUUUUUCCACAUAACAAUGUUGCAUCAGUUUGGUUUUGUUUGGAUUUUUUUUUUUAAAUUAUAAGCUCUUUAUAGAGCUGACCUCAUUAUCAAUACCAUCAUCACGUUGAGUGUCUUGUGUGUCAAGACUCAUACUGGGUUCGGAGCUGCAAAAGGAUUCACGUUUUUACUUAUUGUUCAUGCCUUUGUUCACUAGUUGGACAAAGCACAAGCACUAUUAUUUUUAAUUUUUAAAUUAGACUUGUUUAUCAUUGAUAUUUCUUAAUGUUUGUUUUGCCUACAUGAAUGCAUAUGUGUGCCUAGUGCCCUCAGAGGUUGGGAAAAAGGACAACAGAUCUCCUGGAAAUGAAACUACAGAUGAUUGUGAAUCCCCAUGUGGUUGCUGGGAAUCAAACCCAGAUCCUCUGGAAGAGUAGCCUGUGCUCUUAACUAACUGAGCCAUCUCUCCAGACCCACUAUUGAAGAAAGAAAGAAGGGGGAUUAGGGAUUUAGCUCAGUGGUAGAGCGCUUAAGUCCCUGAGUUCGGUCCCAGCUCUGAAAAAAAAAGAAAAAGAAAGAAAGAAAAGAAAAAGAAAGAAAGAAAGAAGGACCCUUGGUGUUCUCAGAGACUGAACCACCAACCAAAGAACACACACAGGCUGGAGCAAGGCCUCCCUCACAUAUGUAGCAGAUGUGCAGCUUGGUCUUCAUGUGGGUCCUGUCCCUAAAGCUGUUGCCUGUCUGGAAUACAUUCCCUACCUGGGCUACCUUGUCUAAGCUAGCUUCAGUGGGAGAGGAUGCACCUAACCAUGCAGAGACUUGAUGUGCCAGGGUGGGAGGGGUAGAAGAGAGGGGCUCCACCCUCUCAGAGGAAGAUGGGAGAGAGGCUGAAGGGAGGGACUGUGUGUGGAGAGGAUGGGGAGGGGGCAGUGAUUGGGAUGUAAAGUGAAUUAAAAAAAAAAAGAAAAUAUACUUUAUUAAUUCCACAAUAAUAAUAGUUUCACACAUGUAAACACUGUUUCCUGAUCAUACCUACCUUCAGCACCUUUCCUCCAUGCCCCAGGCUCCCCAGCACACCCCUGUCCCUUUCCUGUCCCAUCCCUUUAAGGUUUUUGUUUUUAAGCAUCUACUGGGUCCAAUUAGUCCUGACUGUUGGUGUGCUGCUGGUCUUGCUGGCUUACCGUGCAGGCGAGGUGGUGUGGUGUUGUGUCUUGAGACAGUUUCUCAGGAGGCCUGGGCGGCCUCCCACUUGCUAAGGUCAGACUCAGCUUCAGGGAAUGGGGGCUCCAUGCGUGCUUAAGUCUGCUGCUUUGUGAGCACCUCCUAGCGAGCUGUCUGUGGUGUCAGCCCCAGGAGAUUAGUGCCUCUCGCCUCCUUGUACACUCGUGUGUGUGCAUACAGCUCUUAAGACGCAGGGUGGCUCCAUGGUUAGGUGUAUUUGCUGUUCUUCCAGCAGAUUCUUGUUUGGUUCCAAGCACCCACACUGGUGUGGUUUAUGACUGCCUGUAACUCUGUCUCAAGGGGGAUCUGACACCUCUCUUCCCAUGGUCAUUUGCGCUCGUGCACACAGACAUACACAUAUCCAUAAUUAAAGUAAAUCUUUUUUUAAAAAAGGGGGGGUGGUAGUGCUGGAGAGAUGGCUCAGCGGUUAAGAGCACUGACUGCUCUUCCAGGGUCCUGAGUUCAAACCCCAGCAACCACAUGGUGGCUCACAACCAUCUGUAAUGGGAUCUGAUGCCCUCUUCUGGUGUGUCUGAGGACAGUGACAGUGUACUUAUAUACAUGAAAUAAAUAAAUCUAAAAAAAAAAAAAAAAAAAAAGAUUGACCUUCAACUUCUGAGUCCCUGCUUUCUACAUUCUUUCUUUUUUUUUUUUUUGGUUCUUUUUUUCGGAGCUGGGGACCGAACCCAGGGCCUUGCGCUUCCUAGGUAAGCGCUCUACCACUGAGCUAAAUCCCCAGCCCCUCUACAUUCUUUCUUAUAGCUGCAGAUACAUAAAUGAGCUUUUAGGGAGUUUGUAGUAGUUUGAAGGUACAAUUUUUGGAGGUAGUGAACAUGUAUGUAUCUUUGUUAAGGUGCUAAAUGCCCCUCCUUAAUAACUGUACUAAUUGUGCUCUCACCCUGUGAGAACUCCUCUUUGCUGUAACCUCACCAACAAAGUGUAGCAAUUACCUGCUAAUGCCGGCUAAUCUGAGGGAGGGACAGGUGUGAGUUUGCUCCCAUCUAUGCCUCUCAUUUUGAGUAAGGUUGAGCGUUUUAUCACAUGCUUGUGAGGCAUGCACCCUCAUACACUGGUUCAUGGGGGUACAUUCUAACAAGUGUAUCACUGGGCCCUGCUGUUGUUUUAUGAACAUCAUGGCGUCUUCUUACAAAUCUAUAUGGUAUAACCUGACGGCACAGCCAUAUGGCAUAGCCUGUCACUCUUUGGCUACAAGCCUAUAUAGCAUGUUAAUAUCGGAUGUUUAGUGUCACCGUUUCUGAAAAUAAAUAAAUCAUAAAGAAGAUAUAAUAAAAAUGAGGCAUAAAAGGAUUUUCAAUAGGACUGGUUGGAGGCUCAAUGGUAAGAGACCAUCUGAGAGCCUGACGGCCUGGGUCCAUGUGAAAGGAGAGAAACUGCUCCUGCAGGUUGCUUUUCAAUAGUCCCAUUUGUGCAAGGGCAUGUGGUCCCUUCCAUCCCUAUACACAUGCACUCACACAUGUGAAGAAAUCUUAUGCCUAUAGGACACUCCCACAUCCAGGACUAGAGGUUGCUCUGGCUGAGUCUGCUGAGUGUCUAUGGGGCCCUAAGACACUGUGGUGCACUACGUUAGACUUUAUAAACAUUGACACAUAACCCC